rnacentral:lncRNA from 1 species
CAUUUGACUUACAACUUAACCACCGAAGUCCAAGCUCAAGGGCUCUAGGGACCUAAACACAUGAAGCACCUACUACCCACCAAAAUAUAUGGGUUAAGGCUAGGUAGGACUCUCAGCUAGGUCCGAGUCCUGUAAGAUAAAUACACACAUUUAGACCCGACCGGGUUAGGUCCAACCCUGGGACCCAGGUCAAUUCUAGCUUGGGGGCAACCCUACUUUUUCAUGGCCUUUCUUCAGCCAAGACCUGUG